rnacentral:tmRNA from 1 species
GGGGGUGUAAAGGUUUCGACGGGGUCGUAGAGACAUGAGGAGCGGGCCGCAAUGGGUAUUGCGUAAAAAACCCAAAUUUUAAAAUAAACGCUAGAAAUAACGUAGCACUCGCUGCCUAAUGGCAGCUGUCCCGCUUUGGUUACCGCAGCCAAAGCCGGGGCAUCAACCUUCGCGGUGAACGUGCGCCGGGCUUGCUUUGACCCGGCCAUGCAUCAAAAGCUACCAAACGGCAGAGUUUGUCUGUGGACUUUGCCGGGCGGGAAUUUUUCACCACAGACUACGCCCGUAGCCGCCUUGUGAGGAUACUUCUUCGGACGGGGGUUCAAUUCCCCCCACCUCCACCA